rnacentral:sRNA from 1 species
CGUGGAACCAGCCAUACAAGAGCUGUUCAGCUGUCCCACCCCUGGCUGUGACGGCAGUGGUCAUGUCAGUGGCAAAUAUGCAAGACACAGAAGGAACCAGUGAGAAAGGCGAAGGACAGAGUUCCAGGAUCUGAUAAAAGCAUUAAGUCAGCUCCUUAGAGAUGCAGACACUCUUGGCAGCGAAGGAAAACUGUUUCCAUCCCACACAUUGCCCAGCAGGGAUCCAAGCUUACUCAACAUUUUUGGGCCCUGAUACAGGUCAUCAGGCCAGACCUCCUAGGAAGCUAACAAAUAUGACAAAUAUUUAUCUUCAGAAACGUCAUUAUUAGCCAGUCACCUGAAUUUGCCUUUUGCUUUUCCCAACUGAGGUUUUUGUCUUGUGAUAUUAGCAUAUAAAUGACAAAAACACGGUGAAUUUUAUAAGCAGGGC